AUACGGAGGAUGCAAGCGUUAUCCGGAUUUAUUGGGUUUAAAGGGUGCGUAGGCGGUUUGCUAAGCGGGAGGUGAAAUGCCGGCGCUCAACGUCGGAAGUGCCUCCCGAACUGGUGGACUUGAAUGACUCUGCCGUGGGAGGAAUGUGUAGUGUAGCGGUGAAAUGCUUAGAGAUUACACAGAACACCGGUUGCGAAGGCAUCUCACGAAGGGUUGAUUGACGCUGAGGCACGAAAGCGUGGGGAUCAAACAGGAUUAGAUACCCUGGUAGUCCACGCAGUAAACGAUGAUGGCUAACCGCUGGGCUUAUCAGUUCAGUGGCCAAGCGAAAGCGAUAAGCCAUCCACCUGGGGAGUACGACCGCAAGGUUGAAACUCAAAGGAAUUGACGGGG
rnacentral:rRNA from 1 species